UUUGCUGUGAGAAUAAUAUGUAUAUAAACUAAAUAUAUCCCCUGUCAUUCACAUUGCUGUGGCUUUUUUGGGUAAUGUUGAUCACUAAUUUGGCUCCUGAACCACUGAGGUCAGAGUAUCUUC